rnacentral:lncRNA from 1 species
CAAAGAUAAGGAAUAUACACGCACAGUUAAAAAUAGAAGUGUAAAGCAUAAUUUGUUACAUAAUCUCUAUAAUAAACCUGAUGCUGAAUGGAAUAAUUCCCCGUUUGAACUUUUUUAAUUCAUGUCUGUUUGUAGUAGAAAUCUACGGAUGCACAAACGCACAAAACGGAGAAAAUGAAACAAAUAUGGACGACAUGUUCAGAAUCGAGUGGGGAACAACAGUUCUCAAAAAUAACCCCCAAUUGUUUUCCCCUAAAAUUCCUAAGUCCUUGGAAUCUACAUAGUCCGAGGUAUCUUUGAAGAGAAUUUCAUUAAAAAAUAUUCAUUUUCUUGAAAGUUAAGACGAAUUAACCCCUCCUAAAAUACCCCCCCUCCUGCCACAAAGAAAAUUUGUCUAUUCGGA